GUUAGCCUAUACGUGGUAGUUGAUGAAGUGAGAUGUGUGGAGCACACUGUACACAGCCAGGUUUUGUUAUUUUGCCAUUGGCUACGGCCCAUAGUAGCCUGUAUUUUGUUCUCUAACAAAGAGCGAGCGAAACCAGUUAUCGUCUCAUAGUUUCUUACUGAGAUGAUUAUGAAGAAGCUGAUGACCUUGUACUGGAUCAGAGAGCUGGCUGAAGGCCCAAAAUAUAAAUGAAAAAUGUAGUAAUGUAAGAAGAGGACAUCGCUGGGAUUCAACCUGGAAACGUUUGCUGGCAUUCCAGUAAUGUUGGCUUCUUCUUGUGAGGCCACCAGACAACAUGCAAACACGUUGGCAGGUACUGACCUCUGCAGACCGGAAACACCCCCCAAGUGCUGCAGUUGGAGAUGCUCUGACCCAGUCAUCUAGCCAUCACAGUGUGGCCCUUGUUAAAGUCGCUCAGAUCCUCACGCUGCCCAUUUUUCCUGCUUCUAAUACAUCAACUUUGAGGACAAAGUGUUCACUUGCUGCCUGAUAUAUCCCACCCACUGACAGGAUAACCAGAUAAUCAGUGUUAUUCACUUCAGUGUCAGUGGUCAUGUUACGGUUUAUCGGUGUAUAAGAAUGACUGUUCUGUUUCACACUUGUCACUGUCUGCCAAUCUACAGUAUAGACAGUUAUGGAAUAACUCAGUUGUAUCACAUUGAGAUCCCUGAGGCUACACCUUCUCAAGUACGGGUCCACAGGCUGAUGUGUAUCAAUAUGGGGGUCCUUGACACCAAAAAGAGAACCACUGAUGUACUUCAUGGGUAUUUGAAGGGGUACUCCAGCGAUUUAGUGUUGCACUCUCAUCAAGAUGGUGGACUUGUGAGAGACAGAUUAACAAAAAAAAUAUGGUAAAGAAAUAAAUUUAAAAAAAAGUAAGGGUCAGGCAGCAGAGGCUGAGAUCCGAGUUCUGUUAACAUCAUCACUGAUCAUUCAUGUUAAAGCCUAGUUUCUGUAAGAUAAUAAAGUAUUUUGAAUGCCCAAAAGAAAAUGAAUAUGCAGGUUUUAUUAUGACUGAGAAAUAACUGAACAUUGUGGUUGUUUAUUUGUGCUUUGGUUGCACAACAGCCACAAUUCGACAUUUACUCUAUACAAAACCUGCCAUAUAACUGCAUUGCAUUCUGGUCCAUUUCCUGCUCAUCUGGCUGUAGAAUUAAAUCUCUAUUCCUCUUCUACGAUUGCUUUGUCUCUUUUCGAUGGUUGAACAACAUGAAACAUCUGGAGAUAGAAUCACAUUUGUUCU